rnacentral:rRNA from 1 species
GACGAACGCUGGCGGCGUGCUUAACACAUGCAAGUCGAACGGAAAGGCCCUGCUUUUGUGGGGUGCUCGAGUGGCGAACGGGUGCGUAACACGUGAGUAACCUGCCCUAGACUUUGGGAUAACUUCAGGAAACUGGGGCUAAUACCGGCUAGGAGCUCCUGCUGCUAGUUGGGGGUUGGAAAGUUUCGGCGGUUGGGGAUGGACUCGCGGCUUAUCAGCUUGUCGGUGGGGUAGUGGCUUACCAAGGCUUUGACGGGUAGCCGGCCUGAGAGGGUGACCGGCCACAGUGGGACUGAGGAGGCGGCCAUACGCCUACGGGGGGAAUCAGUGGGAGAUAGUGCACGAUGGGCGGAGGGCGGAUGCAGGAACGUCGGGUGCGGGAGGACUGUUGUAGGGUUAUAAACCGUGUGAGCCUGGGACGAAGAGUGAGUGACGGUAAUGGAUCAAGAAGCACCGGCUAACUACGUG